rnacentral:rRNA from 1 species
AGCUCCAAUAGCGUAUACUAAAGUUGUUGCAGUUAAAAAGCUCGUAGUUGAAUUUCUGGUCGUGGCGACCGGUCCGCCCCUCACGGGGUGUGCACCUGGUGUCUGCGUCCAUCCUCGGGGAGAGCGCGUCUGGCAUUCAGUUGUCGGGCGCGGGAUCCUCGUCAUUUACUGUGAGCAAAAUAGAGUGUUCAAAGCAGGCUUAGGCCGUUGAAUACAUUAGCAUGGAAUAAUAAGAUAGGACCUUGGUCUAUUUUGUUGGUUUGCAUUCCAAGGUAAUGAUUAAUAGGGAUAGUUGGGGGUAUUCGUAUUCAAUUGUCAGAGGUGAAAUUCUUGGAUUUAUGGAAGACGAACUACUGCGAAAGCAUUUACCAAGGAUGUUUUCAUUA